rnacentral:ncRNA from 1 species
CAAAGGUUUGGUCCUGACUUUACUAUCAACUUUAGCUAAAUUUACACAUGCAAGUAUCCGCACCCCUGUGAGAAUGCCCUACAGUUCCCUGCUUGGGAACAAGGAGCCGGUAUCAGGCACACUCCUAUAUAAGCCCAUGACACCUUGCUUAGCCACACCCUCAAGGGAACUCAGCAGUGAUAAACAUUAAGCCAUAAGUGAAAACUUGACUUAGUUAAAGCUAAGAGGGCCGGUAAAACUCGUGCCAGCCACCGCGGUUAUACGAGAGACCCAAGUUGUUAGACACCGGCGUAAAGAGUGGUUAAGUUUGAACCUUAAACUAAAGCCGAACAUCUUCAAAGCUGUUAUACGCACCCGAAGACAAGAAGUUCAAUCACGAAAGUGGCUUUACCUCAACUGAACCCACGAAAGCUAGGACACAAACUGGGAUUAGAUACCCCACUAUGCCUAGCCCUAAACAUUGAUAAUAUUUUACAAUUAUUAUCCGCCCGGGUACUACGAGCAUCAGCUUAAAACCCAAAGGACUUGGCGGUGCUUUAGAUCCACCUAGAGGAGCCUGUUCUAGAACCGAUAACCCCCGUUCAACCUCACCCUUCCUUGUUUUCCCCGCCUAUAUACCACCGUCGUCAGCUUACCCUGUGAAGGCCUAAUAGUAAGCAAAAUUGGCACAGCCCAAAACGUCAGGUCGAGGUGUAGCGUAUGGAAGGGGAAGAAAUGGGCUACAUUCCCUAACCCAGUGCAUACGGACGACACACUGAAACACGUAUCUGAAGGAGGAUUUAGCAGUAAGCAGAAAAUAGAGUGUUCUGCUGAAAHUGGCCCUGAAGCGCGCACACACCGCCCGUCACUCUCCCCAAGCUUAUAACUACAAAUAAAUAAAACCCUWCAAYUGCAAAGGGGAGGCAAGUCGUAACAUGGUAAGUGUACCGGAAGGUGCACUUGGAAAAAU